UCCCUUUUCACUUUUUCAUGCUGCUGUGUAUAACACUGGAGAAGGAGCAAGGUCAUGGCUACAGAACUGUGUUAACGUGAGGGUUACAAAAUCUUAGGCGUCCUGGAGGGCUGAGAGCAAGCGGGCCGUCAGUCAGUCACCCAGCACAGCGUGCUUUCUUUGUAACUCUCCUGGGAUUGAUGUUGCAAAUCUCGCGUCCAGGGAAAGCUCUGACUCCUGAGAUAACAAGGACAGCUGGUCGGUCUGAGCUGGCACAUAAACUUCCCUCGGCGGUUCACCAACUGUGAGCAAGCCGCUGAGUCCUCCGAAAGCGAAAGCGUUAAUCACUCAGUCAUGUCUGGCUCUCUGUGACGCCAUGGAAUGUAGCCCCGCCAGGCGCCUCUGUCCACGGGAUUCUCCAGGCAAGAAUACUGGAGUGGGUUGCCAUGCCCUCCUCCAGGGGAUCUUUCCAACUCGGGGAUCGACCUACGUCUUCUGCUUUGGCAGGUGGGUUCUUUACCAUCUGAGCCACCAGGGAAAUCCCCUAAAUCCUCAGACCAGCUCAUCAGAAGGGAGAGCGGCUGACGUGGCCUUUGGCGAAACGCUGCUAAGUGAUCUGGACAGGCCGUUCAGGACUCUGGCGACAUGUGGGCCGAUUUCUGCAUGGAUACUGGAGCAGCCGUCAGAUCAUUUCUGAGCUCUCUCUCCUGCGAGGAAGUCACCUCAACCAGGCUGGUUCUCAUGUCUUGCAAGAUGGUGCACCAGGAAGAGGCCAGUCCUAGGACAGAGGCCAUUAGCACGUGUUCUGAGAAAUCUUCGUGUGUUUUCAGAUGUGCCUGGUGCCCAGGGAUGGAGUUGUAAUGUUUCAGGCAGGAUGUGUUUCCUGCAGAGGAAAAGGGGAAAGGAAUCAGACACCUGAAAUUCCCUGCCAGGCGCAGACCAGCAACUUCCAC
rnacentral:lncRNA from 1 species